rnacentral:rRNA from 1 species
GACGUAGGGAGCAAGCGUUGUCCGGAAUCAUUGGGCGUAAAGCGCGCGUAGGCGGCCUCAUAAGUCCGUUGUGAAAGUCAAAGGCUCAACCUUUGAAAGCCGAUGGAUACUGUGGGGCUAGAGUCCGGAAGAGGCGAGUGGAAUUCCUGGUGUAGCGGUGGAAUGCGCAGAUAUCAGGAGGAACACCAAUAGCGAAGGCAGCUCGCUGGGACGGUACUGACGCUAAGGCGCGAAAGCGUGGGGAGCGAACAGG